rnacentral:rRNA from 1 species
UACAGGGGGUGCAAACGUUGCUCGGAAUCAUUGGGCGUAAAGCGCACGUAGGCGGUCUGUUAUGUCGGAUGUGAAAGCCCUUGGCUCAACUGAGGAAGUGCAUCCGAAACUGGCAGGCUAGAGUACGAAAGAGGAUCGCGGAAUUCCCGGUGUAGAGGUGAAAUUCGUAGAUAUUCGCAAGAACACCAGUGGCGAAGGCGGCUCACUGGCCCGGUACUGACGCUGAGGUGCGAAAGCGUGGGGAGCAAACAGG